CCCAGACAGCCAGGAUGUUGGCUUAGAAGCAGCCAUCAUUUAAAGAAAGCGUAAUAGCUCACUGGUCGAGUCGGCCUGCGCGGAAGAUGUAACGGGGCUAAACCAUGCACCGAAGCUGCGGCAGCGAACGUAUCACUUAAAGCGAUUCAGCGGGUUACGAUUGACGGAGCGAAGCGACGUCAAAGCGUAUACAAAGUCGAGUCGGUUUAAGGAUACGUUCGUUGGGUAGGGGAGCGUUCUGUAAGCCUGUGAAGGUGUGUCGUGAGGCAUGCUGGAGGUAUCAGAAGUGCGAAUGCUGACAUAAGUAACGAUAAAGCGGGUGAAAAGCCCGCUCGCCGGAAGACCAAGGGUUCCUGUCCAACGUUAAUCGGGGCAGGGUGAGUCGACCCCUAAGGCGAGGCCGAAAGGCGUAGUCGAUGGGAAACGGGUUAAUAUUCCCGUACUUGGUGUUACUGCGAAGGGGGGACGGAGAAGGCUAUGUUGGCCGGGCGACGGUUGUCCCG
rnacentral:rRNA from 1 species